CUACGGGUCGCUCCAGUGGGGAAUCUUAGACAAUGGGCGCAAGCCUGAUCUAGCCAUGCCGCGUGAGUGACGAAGGCCUUAGGGUCGUAAAGCUCUUUCGCUGGGGAAGAUAAUGACGGUACCCAGUAAAGAAACCCCGGCUAACUCCGUGCCAGCAGCCGCGGUAAUACGGAGGGGGUUAGCGUUGUUCGGAAUUACUGGGCGUAAAGCGCGCGUAGGCGGAUCAGAAAGUUGGGGGUGAAAUCCCAGGGCUCAACCCUGGAACUGCCCUCAAAACUCCUGGUCUUGAGUUCGAGAGAGGUGAGUGGAAUUCCGAGUGUAGAGGUGAAAUUCGUAGAUAUUCGGAGGAACACCAGUGGCGAAGGCGGCUCACUGGCUCGAUACUGACGCUGAGGUGCGAAAGCGUGGGGAGCAAACAGGAUUAGAUACCCUCGUAGUC
rnacentral:rRNA from 1 species